UCUCACAGCUAUUAGGUGACUGAGCUAGGAUUUCAACCCAGAUCUGAUGUUUUUCCACAGGUGCUUGUGGAUCCGCCAGGCUGCUGAACUGCUCAGCAGAGUACUUGGCAUUACAGGGAAUGUGGGCUGCACAUUCUGAGAGUGGGUCAAGACCAGGUGCAACAGGAAUCGGGUUCCUGCAAGGCGUGUCUCCUCAGGUGGGUCCCGGAGCACUGGCCCUCCUCAUAAGCCCACAGCUCCUCCCAUCCUCUGCAGACAUGGUCCCAGCACCUCGAAGGCCUCAGAGUCCGCAGAGGCAGGCAGGCAAGAAAUGAACACACAAGCGUGGCUACAACUGCGAUAAAUGCUCUGAAGAAAACGGUGCAGAGAUCGAAACUGGAGAGAAACAUAUGAUACUUGAAAGGAUCUCUCUCUAGCAGGGGACAAACUGAGGGAGCCCUGAAGGAGAAGGACCCUGCCACGGUGUAAGUGGAGGUGGGAACAGCAGUGCAAAGUCCCUGGGGUCAGCAAGCAGACAGCUCUGCUACGGGGGAGGCAUAAAGUGGCUGGAGAGUGGGAGUAGAGGGGCGAGGGCAAGGAUGAGGUCAGAGCAGUCGGUAGGGGCCAAAGCAUACAGGGCCCUGAGGUCAUGGUGGGGACUUAAGGAUUAAUUUCAAAUGGGAAGCCAUUGGAGAGUUUUUGCAGAGGCGUAACAUGCUCUGAUUUCUAUUUUAAAAGAUGAUUCUGGCUGCCAUAUGGAAAUGGGUUCUAUGAGACACCAUUCUGUCUCAGUUUGCUCAUCCCCGCAAUGGGUUCAUGAGAAACUUUGUGAAAAACAUAACCAACAGGUGUCUGGCAGAGAGUUGAUUCUUGGAAGGUAAAAGACAGAAGACUGGAUUUUCCCACCUCAUUACAAACGAGGGAAAUUUGGUCCUAAGUCAUCCAUAAGUCACUGCCCCGCUCAAAACCCUUCGAAGGCUCCACCCACUGUCCUCCGAAUAAAGACUCACCCCCUUCCCUUGGUCCCAAGGUCCUCCUUGAUCUGGUUCCUCAUGUCUCCAGUGCCAUCCCUGGACCUCUCCUCUCCUGCCACCUCAACCACUCGUGGAAUGUGCCAUGGCCCUUUGCCUAGAGCGCAAGGGUUUUUUUUUUUGCUUGCUUGUUUUGUUUUUGGCUGCACCCAUGGCAUCAGGAAGUUCCUGGGCCAGGGAGCAAACCCACAUCACCGCAGUGACUUGAGCCACAGCAGUGACAAUGCCAAGUCCUUAACCGCUAGGCCACCAGGGAACUCCCACAAGGUCUUCUUCACACUGCCAUCACUUGGUCUCCCCCUCCUGCCUGCACCCAUUGAAUGAGCACUUCCUCUGGGCCAGCCCCGUCCCAAACACUGAGAAGCUCAAAACGUGGCUGAAGGUGUGGGUGCAGGUACAUGGAACAAGAAUCCAAAAUAUCCGGCCUGGCCCUCUUCUGGGUGCUGUGCUGGCUCUUAUCCCCUCUCUCAUGCAUCCAUUUCCUGAAGGAAUAUUUAUCGCGUAUGUGCUUGAUGACAGAGACCAUUCCAGGCUCCUGAGCUACCACAGUGACCAAAGAUCCCUGAAUCUUCCUUCUUGUAUUGGAGACAGAAAACAACGAACCUGAUAAGUCAUUUAGUUACUAUGUUAGAGGGUUCUAAGUCCUAUACGGAAAGAAGGAAAGGUUAGACAGGUGAGCGGAGUCGGGAGGUGACUUUAACCCGGGGGGGCAAGGUGGGGCUCACUGAGAAAGUGACAUCAAGUGAGGGAGCCAGCUGGCAGGUAAGUGGGGGAGAAACAGCUGGGGCAAAGGCGCUAAGGUGGGACGGUGCCGGUGGACCCCAGAAAGGCAGGCAGCGCAAGUGGGGGGAGGGAAAGCCAGCGAGGUAACGGGGUGGAGUGUACCCACAGAUGGCACUGAGAUUACCCCUCCCCAGAGAGAGGAAAGGAAGGCAGCACUUUUUCCGCCUGCCUUAUCUGAUGCUGUGGUCGGAGAAGCCAGCGAGGGCAGGCAUGAGGACCGCCGCGCUCGGCACAUCCUACCUCAAUGGGGCCCCGGAGCAGCCGACAUCCGCUCAGCCUGCGGCUUCUUCCUGUGGCUUCCUGCAUCUCAGGUUGCCCCGAUGGCUGCUAUUUUUGCUCCUGUCUGGGGUUCAAUGCAGGGCUUCUCUGUGUACGGGACUGGGGCUGCUGGGCCUGGCCCCUUUCUGGGUUUGCUCUGCUGAGAGCAAUGGGGAGGGGCCAUUUACACGUUCCAAGUGUCCCUGGGGACAUUUACUAUCCAGCCAGUGGGAAAGAAGAAGAAAUUUGUUAUAGGUGUCACUUUGUCAAUCCUCUUGACCCUCCAGGCUCAGAGAGGCUAGGUGGCUUGUCUAAGGUCACACAGCCAAAUCAAACCACAGGCUGAGGAUUCUAACCCAGGCUGUCUACAUCUAAAAGCUAUUAAUUUGUAAGGGAUUCUUUGCAUUUACUCUCUAAAGUAAUGUUUCCCAGGCUGGCAGUCUGUGCUACCCAGGCUUCUAGAAGGCACGAGGAUGAAGAUGCAUCAUCCACAGCUUCAUUCCCCUGAAGCAUCACAGCUCCAAUGAUGGGGAGGGCUGUGCCCGAGUGGGCACAAGAAAGGGGCCCCUGGCCCAGACACUCGGGGGUGGGACGAGGUGGCAAUCAGAGAAGACUUCUGGAAAACAGUGAUGCUGCGACUCUCUCUGCAAGAAUAAACAGGAGUUCAAGAGGUAGAGAAAACAGUCUGGACAAAAGGCAAAACCAAGGAGCAUGACUGUUUUGUUCGUGGGGGAGGGGCUUAGGAAGCAGCAGGGCAGUGAUCCUGCCUGGGAGGGAGGAGCCAGAAGCUAAAGUUUGACUGCAAAACCUGAGACCCCCCACAAGUGCCCCAGCCCCCUGUCCCCCACCCCGGUGGGCUUGGAAGGCUUUGAACAGAUCCAGUGGCACGAAUGGCCAAGGCUUCAAGCAGGCGGUGGUUUGCGGCCAUCCCGCUGGGAGCUGCGAGGGGAGCACCUAAGAGGGAAGGUGAAGGCAGCGAGUUCUGGGUAAGGACCCUGGUGUCACCCCAGCACCGGCAAUAGUGAAGUAGGGAGAUGUCGCUAUACCCUGAAGGUGCAGCCAGCAGGGAGUGAGGCAGAGAAAGGGGUCGGGGAUGACGUAAGCCAAGGAGCAGUCAUGCUGUUUACCGAGACGACGUGCGUGAUGGGGGAGGGCUUGCCCGGGGAUGGGGGCACAUGAAUCAAGAUAAGGACCAUUUAGAGCUACUGUCUCCCGCAGAUAAACUUUCUGGGGUGAGGACAUGCAAAUUAAGGCUGCCUUUCUACACUCACUAUUCCCCCUUCCUUAAUGGGUGGCUGUUCCCAUGGCCUCAAUUGUUCUGCACAGCAAGUAAGACCCACAGAAGGUGAGAAUGUUGCCCAAGGUCUCAAAGCCAGAAAUCAAGAGGGCAAAGCCUGCCCUUCCAGACCAACCUGACUGCCAUCCCAACACUCAUCUCACCAGGGUGAGGGGGAGCCUCACGCCUUCCCCCGAAAAUGGCACCGCAGGGUCUCAGGAAAACUGGGGGAUCCACUGCCCAUCUCUGAUAGUUCAGGGCUACAUCGGCCAUGGUUCAUACAGGAACGUUUGCCAGGCCUCCUAGCUGGGCAGAGAUGGUAAUUCCUGAGCAACCCUCAGCGCGUGAGGUGACCACAGCAGGGGCCACUGGGGUAGUCCCCACGGUGCCUGAGCUGACUCUUUGACACUCAAAUCUCUGCCUCUGCUCCCGAUGUCAUUAAUUACUGGUUUGCAGAUGCACAAGGCAGCACAGGUGCCACUAACCAUGGGAAGGAAAUUCAUUUCAAAUAUGAAGCUCGUUCUCUGCUGGAGCAACCCCCCCUCCCCGCCCGGCACAACACUCAUUUCCAACGUGGACCAGCCCAAAUUACUUCUUUGAGGGAAUGAGAGGCCAGGAAAGGUGAAGAACUUGCCCCAGAUCAGAAAGCAAUGCAGGGCUGGAUACACCCAUGCAACCCCGUCUCCAUAAAUAUUCAAUGGGUGCCUGCUGGGUGUCACACCUGGCGUGCCAGCAGAUACCUUGCACCCCAAUCAAAGGCUCUUCAGUCUCCCUUUCCCAAGAGAGGAGAGGAUUUUUAUUUACUGAGCACCAACCAAGUGCUUUAUAGAUCCUGAAUCCUCCUAACAAUCAGUCAUUUUGUAGGAGAGGGCACACGGACUCAGAGAGGGAAGGUGACCUGCCCAAGAUCAUACGGCAAGCACAGGGCAGAGGCAGGGCUCAAAGUAAACCCAAGUAAAGGUGGGUUCAGCUUCAGUUCUCCGGGUUCAGGGUGUGUGCAGAGUAGUGAUACUCCAGCCACACCUGCCCUUCCAAGACCCACCCUCCUCCCCCGCCAGGCCUUCCUUCCUGACCCGGACCGGGGCUCGCAACAAACACUAGUUUACUAGCUGGCUAUUGUCUUGAGAUCCCAGUUGUCUGACACAACGCUGUGACUGGUAUUCAGUAAGCCGUUCGGGAAAUGUUAAAAACAAGAGUCUGUUCUGUUUCAAGACAGCCAGUAAGCCCCUGUAAUUUACUCCUCUCCCUGUCAAGAGUCCACGGAUGUGACCAGAGACAGAGAAAUUCAUAUCAGUCAAGGCUGCAAAGCAGACUGUGGCCCUGCAUUCAAGCUCCCUAAGAAGAGAACCAGAACACAGAGCCUCUGGCUACAAGGUCAAGGGGAGAGCUCCCCAGGAGAUACAUACACAUGCACGUGCAGGCAUACAAACACACACAAACACGCACAUGAGUGUGAGCCAUCAAAUCCUCCUCCUGAGCAAAGCUGGAUAUUACGGGUCAAUUGUUCAUUAAUUUACCCAAAAUUUAUAGAGGUCCUAUCACAUACUAGGUAAAUAAAGCAUUAGGCUGUAUGUGUGUGUGUCAUUGUCUGUAUGUGAACAUAUAUGCAUACACACACACACACACACACACAGUCAUCACAACACAGGGAAGUAGGUAUCGGUGCCCCCAUUUUAUGGAUGAGGAGACUGAGACUUGCAAGGCUCAAGAAGCUUGUCCAAAGUCACAGACCGUAUUUGUGGCAGAGCUGAGAUGUGCAACCUGUGCCUAGCCCAGACCCUGGUACACAGCGGGCACUCAACAGCUUUUUCCUCAGUGGCUGGCUGGCCCUGAAGCCCUUCGCAGGGGCCUGUGACCGCCUGCGUUUAGACCCAGUGUGCAGACACUGGAGAUCACACAGAGGGCACAGAAGCUCCCGUUUCUUGGUCUCUCUCAGUUGACCUGGGAUAGGCCAAGCCAGGAAAAGCAGGCCUGAGAGUGGCUUCCAUUUCUAGGACACAUGUGCACACAGCCAGUCUGGCAACAAUGCCUGUGAUGAAUCGGAGUGCCAGAAGAGGUCAGGCCUCCUGCCUGCUAGGCUCAGCUGGGUGCAGCCCUGAGACCGUCACAAGCCCCACCCCCAACUCAGCCAACUCCCAUCACAAAGAAUCUCCCCGGGGACAGCAGGAAAACGCCACAAAGGUUAGUUUUCGGCCCCUAGGAUGUGUGUACACGUCUGCCCUCGAAUCUGUGACGAUGCCCUUCCUCAUUUUGUGCUGUCCUUUCCUCUACAAAAAAAAGGAUCCCAACUGGCUUACCUUUCCAGUAUCAUUAAUGGAGAAAAGGCAAAGGUGGCACUCACUAAAUCCGGGAGGCAUUUUUUGCUGAUGCCCUAAACUCCAAAAUCCAAUGGAAGAGGCAGCUCAAACUUUGUUCCUGGGGGCGUCCCUGGCUCCUCCUCACCCCUUCCGUCUUGAAAGGCCCUUCCCAUUCCUUCAUCCCAGGUACCCUCUGAGUUCCUACCAGGCCAUGGGCCAUCUCCAUGCUUGCUUCCAUCUGAGUUGGCCAGACGCCCCCCAUCACACCUGGCCAGGCCCACUGCAGGGUAUGUUAAGGCAUGAAUGAAUGAACAAACAAAUGCUUCCUGAGCAUCUGGGCACCAAGACCUGUUCUCCAGGGGUUGGUACCAGCCACUUUCAGAACUGCUUUUCAAGAAGGAGCUGCCAACUGCAGGCCUCCUAGACCUUCCAAAGCAUCUUUAUUCUACAAUGUGACAGACACCUGUUCAGGUCCCCGCCUGCCCCCACCCAGACAUCUGUCUUCACCCCGCAGCACCCGCCUGACCACCUCCACCCAGGAG
rnacentral:lncRNA from 1 species